GAGUUUGAUCGUGGCUCAGGACGAACGCUGGCGGCGUGCCUAACACAUGCAAGUCGAGCGAGAAUUUCUUAGCGGAGUCCUUCGGGGUGAAGGUAAGAGAGGAAAGCGGCGGACGGGUGAGUAACGCGUGAGUAACCUGCCCAUAAGAGGGGGAUAACACAUGGAAACGUGUGCUAAUACCGCAUAUGGAGUAAACAUCGCAUGGUGUAAGCUUAAAAGAUUUAUCGCUUAUGGAUGGACUCGCGUAAGAUUAGCUAGUUGGUGAGGUAACGGCUCACCAAGGCGACGAUCUUUAGCCGAACUGAGAGGUUGAUCGGCCACAUUGGGACUGAGACACGGCCCAGACUCCUACGGGAGCAGCAGUGGGGGAUAUUGCGC
rnacentral:rRNA from 1 species